rnacentral:lncRNA from 1 species
GCGGCGGUGCAGGCUGCCAGAGAGAGCGCUGGACCACGGUGGCAGCGACCGAGGGUCUCUUGGCUACCUGUGCAGGGUUCUGGGGUACUCAAAGCCGCUGGAUCCCUUCGUGUUAGCCUGUUUAUCCCAGGGGAUCCCAGGGAGUUGGGUCUCUCCCAAGCCAAGCUUCUACUCCAGAGAAGCUGCCUCAGAGCCUGGUCAUGGCUAUGCUCCUGACCCCACAGGAACCAGUCAGUCUUCUGAGAGUGAAGGUGGAAGAAGGUAUUCCUGGGCAUCCAGAAUUCUUCCUGGGAGGAAACAGAUCUGACCCUGGGCCCUCUGGGCAGUGUUUCAGAGCAGGACUCCGAGAUGCAUGUGAAAGAGCAGAGGCACCUAUAUCUGCAGUACCUGUGAGGAUGGGCAUCUGGGCGAAGGCCGCACAGCGUCCAGACCACAAUUUUCCUUUCCAGGGCUCUGCUCUUCAUUGGGAGGGAAUCCCAGAAGAAGAAGAAGAAAGGCCUCUGACAGCUGGAUCCCAGGUGAGUCAGGGUUUCUUCCCUGUCCCCAGGUGGUGGCCACAUGUCUGUCCACUCUCCCGAAUGAAGCCUCUCUUCCCAGCCAGAUUCAGGACCCUGAGCCCCUGGUAGAUGGCAGGCUCCAUGGGGAGGUCUCCUCGUUUGCCUCAUGUCCUUCCUCAUGCCCUUUCUCUUCUUUCUGCCCAUUCAUCCUUCACUCGUUCAUCCUGCAGAUACUUCCAUGACCACUGUCUGUGCGCCAUUCCUGCUCUCAGGGAGCAGGAUUCUCAUUGAAGAGGCAGGAAGGCAGGCAGGAUCCCCUCAGAUAAUGACCAGGGGCUUGUGGAUAAGUGCCAAGGUGAUCACGUGAAUGAAGG